rnacentral:rRNA from 1 species
GACGAACGCUGGCGGCGUGCUUAACACAUGCAAGUCGAACGGAAAGGCCCUGCUUGCAGGGUGCUCGAGUGGCGAACGGGUGAGUAACACGUGGGUGAUCUGCCCCUUACUUUGGGAUAAGCCUGGGAAACUGGGUCUAAUACUGGAUAGGACCAUGCUGUAGGUGGUGUGGUGGAAAGAUUAGUUUCGGUAAGGGAUGAGCUCGCGGCCUAUCAGCUUGUUGGUGGGGUAAUGGCCUACCAAGGCGUCGACGGGUAGCCGGCCUGAGAGGGUGGACGGCGACAUUGGGACUGAGAUACGGCCCAGACUCCUACGGGAGGCAGCAGUGGGGAAUAUUGCACAAUGGGCGCAAGCCUGAUGCAGCGACGCCGCGUGGGGGAUGAGGGCCUUCGGGUUGUAAACUCCUUUCAGCCAUGACGAAGCCUUCGGGUGACGGUAGUGGUAGAAGAAGCACCGGCUAACUACGUG